rnacentral:rRNA from 1 species
AUGAACUGGCCGUUCUGCCAUCCGCUGCGUCCUGCCGUCUGUUUUCUUAAGCCUGUGAGCCGAUGGCCAUCGUCCUCCAUCACGCGUGCCGCCGCUAGGCAUCGUCCGAGUGCUGACGCGCUCUACCGUGGUACAGGCGUGUGCCACCCCUGGCCAUGUCGCGUGUCUCGCGCGAGCUUUGCGUGCAGAUGCCGCAAGCCAAGUAGCACGGGCCCUGACGGCCGUCGCACCUCCGUUGGCCUUGCCGCAGCGUGUCGUGCCGCCGCAAGCUGCUGCAGUGCCACCACGCCGGCUGGCCAGGCUUCAAGCCGCACCACGGCAUCGCGCUCCGCUGGCACCGCGUGCAGAGCUCACAGCUCGCCGCCGCCGGCCAUGGAGGAAGCGGACGGCUGUGUUAAGCUGCCGUUAAGCUGCCGCGCGGCCUGA